rnacentral:rRNA from 1 species
GACGAACGCUGGCGGCGCGCUUAACACAUGCAAGUCGAGCGAUGAAAUUUCGACAGAUCCCUUCGGGGUGAAGAUGAAAUGGAUUAGCGGCGGACGGGUGAGUAACACGUGAGUAACCUGCCUUUGACAUUGGGAUAGCCUCGGGAAACUGGGAUUAAUACCAAAUGACACUAACUGAUCACAUGAUCAAUUAGUCAAAGAAAUUCGGUCAAAGAUGGCCUCGCGGCUGAUUAGCUAGUUGGUGAGGUAACGGCCCACCAAGGCGACGAUCAGUAGCCGGCCUGAGAGGGUGAUCGGCCACAUUGGAACUGAGACACGGUCCAAACGCCUACGGGAAGCAGCAGUGGGGAAUAUUGCACAAUGGGGGAAACCCUGAUGCAGCGACGCCGCGUGAGCGAAGAAGGCCUUCGGGUCGUAAAGCUCUUUUAUGAGGGAAGAGAAUGACGGUACCUCAAGAAAAAGCCCCGGCUAACUACGUG